GUGUCAGCAGCCGCGGUAAUACAGAGGUGGCAAACGUUGUCCGGAUUUAUUGGGUGUAAAGGGCAUGUAGGUGGUUCUAUAAGUCAAAGGUGAAAUGGCCCGGCUCAACCAGGUCAUUGCCUUUGAAACUGCAGAACUUGAGUACGGAAGAGGAAAGCGGAAUUCCCAGUGUAGCGGUGAAAUGCGUAGAUAUUGGGAGGAACACCGGUGGCGAAGGCGGCUUUCUGGUCCGAAACUGACACUGAGAUGCGAAAGCCAGGGGAGCAAACGGGAUUAGAUACCCCGGUAGUCC
rnacentral:rRNA from 1 species